rnacentral:misc_RNA from 1 species
UCAGAAACGGGGCUUCGGCCCUCUUUCACACCCUCUGUCUACCUUCUCUGUUGCUUUGGCGGGCCGUCGGGUCCCCCCGCCCCCGGCCUCGGCUGGGGCGUGCCCGCCAGAGGACCCUCUCAAACACAUGGCAAACCGGGUUGUCCGAGUACACAUGAAUCAGCCA